rnacentral:rRNA from 1 species
AUGCAAGUCGAGCGAGAAAGUUUCUUCGGAAACGAGUAAAGCGGCGGACGGGUGAGUAACGCGUAGGAAUCUACCAUUCAGUGGGGGAUAGCUCGGGGAAACCCGAAUUAAUACCGCAUAUACCCUAAGGGGGAAAGAGGGCCUAUCCUUGGAAGCUCUUGCUGUUUGAUGAGCCUGCGUGAGAUUAGUUUGUUGGUGAGGUAAUGGCUCACCAAGGCUACGAUCUCUAGCUGGUCUGAGAGGACGAUCAGCCACACUGGGACUGAGACACGGCCCAGACUCCUACGGGAGGCAGCAGUGGGGAAUAUUGGACAAUGGGGGCAACCCUGAUCCAGGCAUGCCGCGUGUGUGAAGAAGGCCUUCGGGUUGUAAAGCACUUUAGGUAAGGAAGAAAAGUCAUUGGUUAAUACUCAAUGACCAUGACAUUACUUACAGAAUAAGGACCGGCUAACUCCGUGCCAGCAGCCGCGGUAAUACGGAGGGUCCAAGCGUUAAUCGGAAUUACUGGGCGUAAAGCGCGCGUAGGCGGUUUGACAAGUUGGGUGUGAAAUCCCCGGGCUUAACCUGGGAACUGCAUUCAAAACUUUUAAACUGGAGUACGGGAGAGGAGAGUAGAAUUCAUGGUGUAGCGGUGAAAUGCGUAGAUAUCAUGAGGAAUACCAAUGGCGAAGGCAACUCUCUGGACCGUAACUGACGCUGAGGUGCGAAAGCGUGGGUAGCAAACAGGAUUAGAUACCCUGGUAGUCCACGCCGUAAACGAUGACAACUAGCCGUUGGACCUUUGGGUUCAGUGGCACAGCUAACGCAUUAAGUUGUCCGCCUGGGGAGUACGGCCGCAAGGCUAAAACUCAAAUGAAUUGACGGGGGCCCGCACAAGCGGUGGAGCAUGUGGUUUAAUUCGAUGCAACGCGAAAAACCUUACCAACCCUUGACAUCUAGUGAAAUUUCUAGAGAUAGAUUUGUGCCUUCGGGAA